GAAACAUUCAGGAAAAGUGAAAUUCUGAGUUGAUCAGUUGUGCCUGAUUCUUUAUGACUCCAUGGACUAUAACCCACCAGGUUCCUCUGUCCAUGGAAUUCUCCAGGUAAGAAUACUGGAGUGGGUUGCCAUUCCUUUCUCCAGGGGAUCUUCCCAACCCAGGGAUCGAACCUGGGUCUCCUGCAUUGUGGGCAGAUUCUUUACCGUCUGAGCCACAGAUGCAUGUACGUGUGCUAAGUUGCUUCAGUUGUGUCUGACUCUUUGCAACCCAGUGGACUGUAGCCUGCCAGGCUCCUCUGUCCAUGGAAUUCUCCAGGCAAGAAUACUGGAGUGGGUUGCCAUACCCUCCUCCAGGGGAUCUUCCUGAGCCAGGGAUCGAACUCACAUCUCUUGCAUCUCCUACAUUGGCAGAUGUAAAUUGGUAAUAUUGGUGGAGGACCAAGAAAGAGCAUUUUCAAGCACCUUCCAUGUGAGAGACUGCUGGAGAGAACUGAUUUACUGAGACAACAUGGCAUUUAAGCUGAAAAAAGAGGAGGAUGUGGAGUCAUUGCAAGAAGGAGCGACAAAACAGUAUGAUUAACAUAUAAUAUAUAUAAAAUAUCAGUAAUAUUUGAUGUUGAAAAAGAUUUAUUCUUUUUUGACAUGUAGCAUCAAUUC
ensembl:lncRNA